AGAUUGAACGCUGGCGGCAGGCCUAACACAUGCAAGUCGAGCGGCAGCACGGGUACUUGUACCUGGUGGCGAGCGGCGGACGGGUGAGUAAUGCCUAGGAAUCUGCCUGGUAGUGGGGGAUAACGCUCGGAAACGGACGCUAAUACCGCAUACGUCCUACGGGAGAAAGCAGGGGACCUUCGGGCCUUGCGCUAUCAGAUGAGCCUAGGUCGGAUUAGCUAGUUGGUGAGGUAAUGGCUCACCAAGGCGACGAUCCGUAACUGGUCUGAGAGGAUGAUCAGUCACACUGGAACUGAGACACGGUCCAGACUCCUACGGGAGGCAGCAGUGGGGGAAUAUUGGACAAU
rnacentral:rRNA from 1 species